UGUCCACACAUUAAGUUUGAAUAAAACAGGAUCCACUGUAUCGAUGCUGUUAACCAAAUCUGAUGCGCUACCACCAGUGUGUCUGGUUAGCAAACAUUGUAGACUAGUAGGAUAAACAAAAACGACAAUCCAGCACGGGCUGUUCCUAAAGAAGAAGAUAGAACCCCUCCAAGGAUGCAAAAACUGAAAAACAAGCUACAGCAGACAACAGUCCAGAUGUGUGGUCAGGUCAAUUAAUUGUAAGAAGGCAGAAGAAGACUUGGGAAUGAAGUGAUUGACAGUCUUUGCAGGACCAGCUGAAUCUGCAUCACACCCUUCUUGUUCAUUACAUGGAUUAGCUGAAUUUGAA